rnacentral:pre_miRNA from 1 species
UCUUAUGGAGGAGUAAACAGUGUGGUUUCUUGAGAUGGAAUCUACUCCUGGUGAAGAUGCUGUGAA